rnacentral:rRNA from 1 species
ACGUAGGUGGCGAGCGUUAUCCGGAUUUACUGGGUGUAAAGGGCGUGUAGGCGGUCUUGCAAGUCGGAAGUGAAAUUCCCGGGCUUAACCCGGGCGCUGCUCCCGAAACUGCGAGACUUGAGUACUGGAGAGGAUAGUGGAAUUCCUAGUGUAGCGGUAAAAUGCGUAGAUAUUAGGAGGAACACCGGUGGCGAAGGCGGCUAUCUGGACAGUAACUGACGCUGAGGCGCGAAAGCGUGGGGAGCAAACAG